UACGAAGGGAGCUAGCGUUGUUCGGAAUCACUGGGCGUAAAGCGCACGUAGGCGGAUGUGUCAGUCAGGGGUGAAAUCCCGGAGCUCAACUUCGGAACUGCCCUUGAUACAGCACGUCUUGAGUCCGGAAGAGGUGGGUGGAAUUCCUAGUGUAGAGGUGAAAUGCGUAGAUAUCGGAAGGAACAUCAGUGGCGAAAGCGGCUUCCUGGACCAGUACCGACGUUCAGGCACGAAAGCGUGGGGAGCAAACAGG
rnacentral:rRNA from 1 species